AUACAUAGGGGGCAAGCGUUAUCCGGAAUUAUUGGGCGUAAAGGGUGCGUAGGCGGUCUAUUAAGUCUGAGGUGUAAGUGCAGGGCUCAACCCUGUGAUGCUUUAGGAACUGGUAGACUUGAGUGAGAUAGAGGCAAGUGGAAUUCCAUGUGUAGCGGUAAAAUGCGUAAAUAUAUGGAGGAACACCAGUGGCGAAGGCGGCUUGCUGGGUCUAUACUGACGCUGAGGCACGAAAGCGUGGGGAGCAAACAGGAUUAGAUACCCUGGUAGUCCACGCCGUAAACGAUGAGUACUAAGUGUUGCGAGAACGCAGUGCUGAAGUUAACAUAUUAAGUACUCCGCCUGAGUAGUACGUACGCAAGUAUGAAACUCAAAUGAAUUGGCGGGG
rnacentral:rRNA from 1 species